UGUGUAGCAAGAACUACUGUUACCUCAUCCAUAUUCCUUGGGCCAAUUUGAGGCGGUCUGCAACUGCAGUGGAAACUUCUCAAGAGCACUUACAACUCCGUAACACAAGCCCUCCUCCUAUGCUCUAGCAACCUGAUAGAAGGCUGGACAUGUAGGAGAGUUCAUGGAUCCCAUGUAUGACUGUCAACCAAUGAAAGCAUUAAUGUGAUGGUCUUCCCAUCCUCUUCUGCUCCUCAUGUGAGCAAGGCUUAUGGUGAAAAAUGCAAUUGGCAUCACAAGGCCAGUUUCAUUAAACUGCAUGGAUGCUGAAAUUUCUCCACUUCCUUGUUAAAUUCUGAAUAGAAGUGUAAGAAGAAUAGGAGAAAGCAAAGAGAAUGCAGAGAAGGCAUUGACGAAUGCAAACUUGCCAAUAAUGAGGAAUUUAUACUCACUUAUCAUUGGGGUAGAUAUUGUACUGCCUUUUAGCCUCACAGAAACUCUUAGAGGAGAUCUGGGGCCCAGGACUCACUGAGGUGGCAGGCCAGCUACAGGACCUGGACACUGUUCCCAACUGCAAGCCUGAUUGUAGUCAUCUCCAGAGAUGCAUCGAUAGACACAGAACACAACCAUUCCUUCCCACCUUCAUGGCUACGACCUUCUUCUGAGCCACCAUCUUUCUUUGGAUGAUUUAACAGCCCUGGAGUCCUCUCCUUCCUUCUGCCUGUACUGCUCUACAUUCUAGUCCAAACAGA